rnacentral:rRNA from 1 species
CUUCCAAGAAAAGUUCCGGCGUGAGUCACUUUACUGACCGUACCGCAAACCGACACAGGUGGGCAAGGAGAAUAUCCUAAGGCGUUUGAGAGAAGCCUCUCCAAGGAACUCGGCAUAAUGACACCGUAACUUCGGGAUAAGGUGUGCCGACGGUAGGUGAUGUGCCUGCGCACAAAGCCAAAGUCGGUUGCAGUGAAACGGGGGUAGCGACUGUUUACCAAAAACACAGCACUCUGCAAACUCGCAAGAGGAAGUAUAGGGUGUGAUGCCUGCCCGGUGCCGGAAGGUUAAGAGGAGGAGUCAGCCGCAAGGCAAAGCCCCGAAUCGAAGCCCCGGUAAACGGCGGCCGUAACUAUAACGGUCCUAAGGUAGCGAAAUUCCUUGUCGGGUAAGUUCCGACCUGCACGAAUGGCAUAACGACUUCCCCACUGUCUCAGAGAGGCCCUCAGCGAAGUAGCACUAGGGGUGAAGAUACCCUUUACCCGCGGCAGGACGGAAAGACCCCGUGAACCUUUACUGUAACUUGGCACUGAUUUUCGGGUUAGCUUGCGUAGGAUAGGUGGGAGGCUAUGAAGCCGGGAUUCCGGUCUCGGCAGAGCCAACCUUGAAAUACCACCCUGGCUAACCUAAAAAUCUAACUCGCUUCCGUAAUCCGGAAGGAGGACAAUGCCUGGUGGGCAGUUUGACUGGGGCGGUCGCCUCCCAAAAAGUAACGGAGGCGCGCGAAGGUUCCCUCAGCCUGAUUGGAAACCAGGCGAAGAGUGUAAUGGCAUAAGGGAGCUUGACUGCAAGACAAACAAGUCGAGCAGGUGCGAAAGCAGGUCAUAGUGAUCCGGUGGUCCUGUAUGGAAAGGCCAUCGCUCAACGGAUAAAAGGUACUCCGGGGAUAACAGGCUUAUCACGCCCAAGAGUUCACAUCGACGGCGUGGUUUGGCACCUCGAUGUCGGCUCAUCGCAUCCUGGGGCUGAAGUAGGUCCCAAGGGUUUGGCUGUUCGCCAAUUAAAGCGGUACGCGAGCUGGGUUCAAAACGUCGUGAGACAGUUUGGUCCCUAUCCGCCGUGGGCGCAGGAGACUUGAGAGGAGCUAACCUUAGUACGAGAGGACCGGGUUGGACUGACCUCUAGUGUUCCGGUUGUGGCACCAGCCGCAUCGCCGGGUAGCUACGUCGGGAAUGGAUAACCGCUGAAAGCAUCUAAGCGGGAAGCCAACCUCAAGAUUAGGUCUCCCAGGUCGUAAGACCCUAAAGGCCCCUUGUAGACCACAAGGUAAUAGGCUGGGUGUGGAAGCGUAGUAAUACGUGGAGCUGACCAGUACUAAUCGGCCGUGCGGCUUGACCAU